UACGUAGGUGGCGAGCGUUAUCCGGAAUUAUUGGGCGUAAAGCGCGCGCAGGCGGUUCCUUAAGUCUGAUGUGAAAGCCCACGGCUCAACCGUGGAGGGGUCAUUGGAAACUGGGGGAACUUGAGUGCAGAAGAGAAGAGCGGAAUUCCACGUGUAGCGGUGAAAUGCGUAGAGAUGUGGAGGAACACCAGUGGCGAAGGCGGCUCUUUGGUCUGUAACUGACACUGAGGCGCGACAGCGUGGGGAG
rnacentral:rRNA from 1 species